AAUGCAAGAUCUUUCAGUUAUUAGUAAUUUCUCUGCUAUAAAUAGAAUCUGGUCCCAGGUGACACUGGACAGACCAAGAGAGGAGAUAUAUGCCUGAAUUAUGCAUCAUACUGAAUCCUUCAUCUGUUCCUAACCAGCCACAUAUUCUCCCAGCCUGAAGAGACUUAAAAGUCAUCCUACCUCUCAAUCUGAAGCACGAGCAGCCCCAACAACGUGCACCAUAAGUCUCUCUGCCUGAAGUCUUUCAGUGAUGAGGAAGUUCUUCAUAUGCUGAGCUGAAAUCUGGCUUCCUGUAACUUUCAUCCAUAGGUCUUCAGUCUUCCCUCUGCGACCAAGAGCACAUUUUAGGAGGGACACUGAUAGUCCAAAGGAGGCCAAACAACAAAGUAAGCAGACUCAAAAUCGUGGCCCAGGAGAUUCAGUUCCAAGUCCAGACAGAAAGGAGAGAGGAGGCAGUCCACUGAUUGGCAAGGGCAGUAAAGAGGCCUCUUAACAACUGAUGGACCCUGUAAGUUCUGCCAUGACUGAUUUGCAGUCCAACACCUGGCAAACAGAGAGGUUGCUGAGAACCACAGACAUGAACUGAUCUGCCUGAGGUCACAUGGAACAGUUGUAGAUCAUCCCUUUCAUAAAAAAACAACAACAACAAAAUCCCUACCAACUUGGUUUUGACUUGUUGGGAAGCAACAACCUUGAUUCAGAAGAUUUUGAACUAAGGUUAUCUCAAGAGAAUCAUAAAUCCCAUUAGAAAUUACGUCUACUGAGAUGAUUGUCCUAGACAGAGAAACUCCGGAAGCUGUGGAAAGUUCUAUCAGCAGAGGACAGAUGACAUCAGGGGGAGAUUGAAUUUAAG